GUUCUACCUUGACGAAUUGUAGUUUAAAGAAGUGUUUUCUGUUAGAGGAGUAGCAAAAGUUCCUUGGAAUGGGACAUCAUAGAGGGUGAGAAUCCCGUAUUUGGUUGCUUUUUCUAGCUUUGUGAUACACUUUCAAAGAGUCGGAUUGUUUGGGAAUGCAGUCCAAAAUGGGUGGUAAAUUUCAUCUAAAGCUAAAUAUUGGCGAGAGACCGAUAGCGAACAAGUACCGUGAGGGAAAGAUGAAAAGAACUUUGAAAAGAGAGUUAAACAGUACGUGAAAUUGUCAAAAGGGAAGCGUUUGACACCAGUGUUGUUUUUCCGAAAAUCAAUUAAGAACGGCUUGAUUUUGUGUUGUAUUGACCUUAUCAGCUUUCUUCACUCUUUUUCGAGUCUUUCUU
rnacentral:rRNA from 1 species